UGGCCUCCAGUGGGCAGACAGCUCUGGGUCCCGGGGAGGACGCCCAUCGCCUUUCCCACCGGGCAGGCCUGGGAAGCAACGCGGUAACCUGUUGCAGCUUAGAGACUGAAUCAACCGCCCAGUCUCUGAGAACCCAACAUAAAUAAGGCUUGCUCAGCCACUCAGUUCAGACAUGUUCCUGGAAGAUAUUAUACCUCACAGUAUCACUCGCAUUUCUCUAUUUUGGGACAUAGAACGGGUGAUAAAUCUUCUGACUGUUUACUGCUCUGCCAAUAUGCAUCUUGGCAAUAUUAAAAUCUAUGCAUGCAUGCUUAUGAAUUUUAUUUCUCUUCAAAGGAGCCAGCUCCUUGUACUAACAACCACAGCUAUAACUCGAUAGACUCCUCUUUACCUGGCAUGCCUAUAGAAAUCUCUAGAGAAUUAGAAUUCUCAUUAAGUGCACUGGAAAGCGGAAUUUAAUCAAAUGUAUGCCAAAGCUUGCUGUUAAAAAUAUGCAACUAGAAAUUGCAUUUCUGUAGAAGCUGUUGCCGUCCUAUGGUGACCACUGGAGUCUUUUUUAUUUAUUGUAGCAUGAAUACAGAACAGAUAAAAUUAAAUCCUCCAUAAUCAAUGGCUCCAAUUUACAUGCGUUACUUGUCAAAGUGACUUUCUCUGGUCCCCACAAAAUGCUAUGUAAUGUGACAUCUCACAAGUCUUCAGGAACAUCCUGAGACGAAUCUGAAAGAUAAAUAUUGCAGUUGUGAGUCUUUUGUCAUGACUCAAAUAAUUUUAAAAUUGCAGAGAUGUGUUCCUCUAACAAUGUUAAAAUUGUUCUAAUGCAGGAUAAAAUGGUAGUUUUAGUCUCUGUAAUUUUUAUAGCAGCUUGUAAUUUCCAUGCACUCGCUACAAUGCUCAGAUCAGGAAAGAUUACAGGAGAAAGCGUUUACACUGGAGAAUCUGCUCUGCUGCUGGCCGGUCCUGUGAAGAACAUACCCAAUAUUUAGAACCCAGAGAGCUUUUACGGGAUUUUUGAUGCUGUGAGUGCCAAAGCCAGACCGUUUGAUUUGGAUUAACGCCGUUUCUGGAGUCUGUUAAAGGGAUAAGGACGAGCCCGGCUCGCGGUUUCUUCCCAAAACACACUUGUACGAACACUGCUGCACUUAUUUGUGUCUGUUCUGUUUGGGGCCGUCACCAGCAGGCCGGGAGCUGUUUGAGAAACAUGAAACGUCAGAGCGAAAAUGUGUGUCCUUUAAAUUGGUUUUAAGUCCCCAAAUUGGAAGAGCUGUGAUUACCACAGAAAGGGUCUUAGAAGAAGCACUUUGAGAGUAGCAACCCUCAAAAGGCAGGUACCGUAAGCGUACCGGGGUCUGACGGAGCGCUGUUGACGUGUGUGACCAUCAUUAAAUACGCUGCGCCGGGACGUCAGGCCUGCUUGGUACCGUACCCCCGCGAUCCUUUCGGGCUGUCUUUGGGGUCGGGUGCUGUUGUGACUACAGCUGUGGUGACAUGACAAGGAACAGCAGAUAUUUUCCUGAUAAGCUGAUAAAGGUGGAGAAACAGGACCGUCCGCUGGGCUCACGCAGAGCCUGGAGGAGGAAUAGGACCAGGUAGUGUACAGAGAGACCAAUGAGAUAUUGCAACAAGUUAUGUUGAGCCUGCAUCACAAAAAAGUGUCUGGGAAUGUUAAUGCCAUGUCAGGCUGCACAGCUGCGGUUAGUAUAUCGAUACCAGGUUUUUCCUUUGAUUGAACUGCUAGGGAUACAUUUUGGAGAGGUACAAGGCAACCCAGGGGAACCCCUGCACGGGGUUAGAUACGGUGUGUUGGUGCACACGAAGGAUGGUGCCCAAUGGUGCUGCUCCAGGGAGAAGCUGGGGAAGAGUAUGGGCAGCUCAGGAAGGAGGAGUCUCUCUGGAGACUCUACCAACACCCAGGGGAACAUUUUGGCUUUAUAUCCAAGGGGACAAACAAGCAAAACCAGCUGCUUGUCACGGCACCGGCAGCCCUGUGCCUCUGUGUGACUUUGGGAACAGCCUGGGCUGCCUCGACCAUGAAGGGGCAGUUGUGCUUCACGCCCAUGGUCAGUGGAGCAUCACCUGCACCCAUCUCCCAUUCCGUAUAUCUCACAGCAGCCAGGACAAUAACCCUGCUCUUAGAGGGGACAGGGAAGGUGUCCACAAAGCAACGUCAAGACAGCAAACUCCAGCACAGAAUAAGGGACCAAAAUGGCACGUCCUGUCCUGCAUCCUUCAGGCUCGAAUGAAGGGGAGACACAACAUCACUGCCUGUACCUGGCUGGAGGGAAUGGGAACUGCGGAGUGAGCAUGUUUUUCCACAUUGGUAAGAUGAUAAAUAAUUAACAGUAAUUACUUACGGUUGACACUGAAAAAUGUUUUGUAGCUGUGAAACACAUUCUGAGCGGCUUCUUUUAGAGAGGUUUUUUCUUUUUGCUGUUACAGUUAGUGAACAUCCCGUGCGCUAAACCCUGUUCUGGUGCCCAGUGAGGCUGCUGGAGACGGGGCUGAGACCAGACUCUGUGCAGUCUGCGGCCCUUUCUCGUUCUCUGCCAGGACUGGCUGUGACACACAGGGCCCUAAAUCACACGCCAGAGAGGAACAAACCUGGCCUAAAGCCGCCUGUGCCUUUGUACCCUCGAUGCUGUUUGAAGCGGAGCCCUAACAAGCACCUUUGUUUUUCAAAGGCAAAUUGCUGGAGCAGCGGUGCGGUAGUGCCCCAGAGGCCAGCUGGACUCGGUGCUACACCCAGCCUUUCGGCAUGAGAUCACAGCUUUUAAACUCAUCCUCCCCACUCUCAAUGUCUGAAAUUCUAUAAUUAAAAUUAACACAAGUGGAGAACAUGGGGUUUGAAACUGAAAGGUAACCUUCCUUCCCCUCUUAAAAUGGACAUAUACAUUUUGUUCUCAUAAAGAGCUGUUGGAUACAGCAUCACCUCAGUUAUAAUGAAACAGCAAAGAAAUACCACAUUGGGAAAGGUUUUCUGAGGGUACAUUCUCUGUUACUGCUGGAGAUUAAAAAUAACCUUCUCAAGCAAUAAAUUGGUUGAGACAGUAACAGGACCAAAAUCAUAGUGAAAUCUAGUAAUGAAAUAUUAACGCUACCAUGUUAAGCUGGGAAAAUCAUAAAAAUUCAUUUUGCAGAGCUGCGUAGAUCAUAUCAGCAGUGUCCUGAGCUGGCUGGAUUUUAAUGCGUAGUGCUUUCCACCUGUGUCCUGUUCCUAUAGACAAUUCCUAUCAGCAGAGAAGAUGACCAAACUCUGAAGUCAUGGAACUGCUUUGGGAAAGCAGAGAAACCCCGUUGGAGUACGUGGCAGCAGUAGCCCUCUAGAAUCAGAAGGCGUGUUGCGAGUGACACAAAGAGAGCUGUGAGGACCUGGCGCUUUGCUUUACUGCGGCACUGAGCGGCCAUCGCAGAGUGCGGCAGACAUAUGGGAAAUUUCAUUUCCAGAGCAACAUUAUUUUGCGUGAAACUGAAAUUAGAUAAAAACUAGGAGUAAAGGUACAUUUGAAUUUCAGCUAGUGCUUGAUCUUUGUAUGCCACAAGGACCUCCCUUGGAUGCUCAGUCUAGCUGUGGGCUUGCUUUCAGCUCCUGGAACCUGCAGCUCUCAGGCCAAUUGAAAUUGUGGAGAUUUUGCUGCUUUACAUAACCUAUUUGAAUUCGGUAGGUUUGAAAACCUGCAAGGUAAAUAGGUACAUUUUGCACAUGCCCGUCCUGCUGGCUUAGGCAGGAGCGUUAAUGUCACACAAUGGACUGAAGUGGGAGUGUCGGCAGUGACCACAGCUCAACUGCACUAAGCUCAUCGAUGUAACAAGGGACGUACGCAUGACAUCCAUACAACAGGUUGGAAGGAGGGUGCCCCCUGGGCACUGCAGAGCACAGGGAGCUGCCCUUGGAAAGAGACAGGCACCCCCAGGGUGACACGGCACUCACAGGGGACAGCACGAGGGGCUGGAGCAACAGCUGUCACCAGAGCCCACAGCUGGCGAAGCUGGUGGAGGGACAGGGACACGGCAUCUCCAGAAAACCAGCGUUGGAUGUGAGGAGCUGAGCCUGACAUGGGGUCUCCAAAAGGGGCAACCAAGCCCACAGGGACCGGCCUCCUGGCCAGCACAGACGUGCAGGCCACGCUGCUGGAAGGGGAAAGUGUAUAAACACCAAAGGCUUGUUCCAACGGCCUGCAGAAAUCCUGCUCCUCGCUCCAGGGUGAGGUCUUUCUUGAUGCCAGCCUCAGCGGCUCGUGUUGAGGCUGGAUUCACUUCAGGACCUCACUAACAUACAUUUGUGAACCAGAUAAACAUUAUUUUCCUGCUUUUUGGGAGAAAAACCUGCAAAGAGCAGUAAGGUUGUCCCUCGCUGUUUUCUGGGGCAGGGGUGCAGCCUCAAAGGUGCUGAGACAAACACUUGGGGAUGGCUGAUAUAGCACUGGAGUGCAGAAUAAACAAGGAAAUGAUACUGAUCCCAAGGCAUAAUUAAAAACCAAGAGACCUGCUAAAGACAGCUCAGUAUUAAAGAGAAGAAAAGCUUCCUGAAACCAUGGGAAGUCACCAGAAUAGGUGUCUGAAAUGAUAUACAAAUGGUUCUCACCUCCUUCCACCUGAAAGAAUUGGGCAUGUUCUCAAAAUGCUUCUUCAGUGUUUGCGUUUGAACAAUGAAACAAAAACACAACGGUCAGUAAAGUUAAGCCAUUAAAUCAGUUUGGUUUCCAUCAGAAAGCAGCCUGGAUCACCCCGUACACCGCAGCCAUCUGCGGUUCCCACAUGGAUUUCUUCUCGGCGGCACCGAGCGUACAGAACCAGCAGGCGCCCGCGAGCGCUCGCACAGCCACACGGAGAAAGCAGACAAGAGCCGCCGGGCGUCCUGCGCGGCGCCGUGCAGCCUCACCUGUGCGGCACCUGGCUGCGCCGGCACGGGGGCAGGCACAGCCCGGCUCGGCAGCCGCUGAGUCGGCACCUUUGCUGUCGAGGAAGCCGCGACCGGCCGCCUUUCCGCAAGGUGCCAGCGCGCAGCGCCCAGCGGGAGCAGCUUGUUCUGCGCCAGGCACCUCCGACACACAAGAGACUGCGCCCAGUUGGGCGGAAAUAAAAAGCAAACUCCUCUUUUUGUUAUUUGCUGUUCUUGUGGUGACCGCUUCCCCUGAUCCACCGCAAAAUGCUGUUUUUGCUUUUCAGGCAGCUCUGAUUUUGGCGUUUUCAAGAUAAAGUAGCUGUUUAAUGCCUCUGAAGGCACAGCAGCUUCUCCACUGCUCCUGGCCAGGCGGUGGCACAGCCUGGCUUCCAGCUGAGGCGGUUUCUGGCACUUUCAGCAGCUGGAAAUCUCACUGGUGCCAUUUUCUCAACCAAGCCAGCGGCUGAGCAGCACGUGGCAGUGCCUGUGUCCCUCCUUUAAUCAGACACUCUAGGAAGCGAGAGCAGCACCAAGCAAGGUGAGGUCCCACUAUUAAUAACCAGCAAGUGACCAUAUAUUUAGAUACUUUAAAAAAAAAUCCACAUAAAAACAUGUGAGCUAAAGAUCGGAGACAAAAAGAGCCUUUUACCUUUCGGACCCUAUUUGAACUCUCACGUCAGAGAGGGCCUCCACACACCCUCGGUGCCGUGGCAAAGCCGUCUCCAGCCUUUGCAUUCGGCGUCCACCCCUGGUCACAGCAGGAGCAGCAGGGACCUGGACAGUCACCGUCUGCCCAUGACGGUGUGAUGGUGUCCCCUGGAAAAAACAGCGCUUUUGCUGGGGCACAGGAUAUGGCCCCAGCUCUGUGAUGCCACGUGGCCCCAGCUCUGUGACCCCGCGUUGCCCACGGAGCAGCCUGCGAAGAGCAGCUGUCCCCUGAGUGGUUGGUGUGGGGCCGGGGCAGCCCUGGAGGUGCCACCAGAGCACCUGGAGGUGCCACCGGAGCUGCAGCCCCUGUGUCCCACCAAGAGCCACCAAUGUCACCUGCAGGUGAUCAAGUAUGAAUUCAAAGCAGAUGAACUGUAUUGCGGUAGUAAGCAUCGGCUUUCCACAAAGGCAGGACGGCGCAUCGGAGACAGGCGUCGAGAAGAACACCCUCCAUUUUCUCUCUCCUGGAUUUCUGUAUUCAAAGGACGUCAUGAACAACUGUAAAUUCCUAUACUCAGAACCGAGGGAAUCCCUGGCCAGAAGCUGCCUGCACCGCUUGUGCGAGUGUGUCGUGUUUCAGUGUCACACGUUCCUUCUGCCACCCUGGGUGCCGGAGGGGCUGGUGCUCAGUGCUGAGCACUCCCAGCUGCUGGUGAACCCGGGAACAUCCACAUCAAGGCAGGAGCUGCAGAACCUCGGGAUCCCACGGCUCUUUCUAGCAGCCUCCGAAGGGCAGGAUGGCACCAGCGGCUGAGGAACAGGCUCUUCCAGGGACCCCUCCUGCCGAACCGGUUCCCUGUGGCCUGUCCUCCCCAGCACAUCCUCGGGCAGGUGGGACAGGGGCGGAGGACAAGGCAGCAGUGGCAGGCUCUGGAUGUCCGGUUCACACUGGGGCUUCAUCUGAUUGUUUGUUUCUUGAACCAAAUGUGUGUUGGUUUCCUAGCAGAAAGCGGCUGUGUCUGUGUCCUGCAGAGCAGCAGUGGCUGUUUGUCUCACCUAAAGACCCAAGGGACCGGUAACAUCUUUGGGCGGGAGGGUCCUACUCUGUGACAGAAGCCCCGGUCCCCCCGGCACACGCCGCGGGGCUGCCGCGCGGGUCCUGCGGCGCUGGCCGAGCUGUCGCCGAGGUUUCCUCUGCUCCGGACACAGGCAGAAAGCUCCUUCUCCCACAGCCCGAUCUCCUCCUGAGAGAGGUGGCGCCUGCAGGACAAUCCAUGCAAAGAGCCUCCACCGUGAGUGUCGAAUAAAACAUAUCCCCUUGAAUAUAUAUAUAUAUAUGUUUUUCUGGACAAAUUGCUCUUUAUGUGUUAAGGAAAAGCAUUUUUUCCCAGCACCUCUGACUUCAGAGAACUGAUGGCCAUGUAGUUCAUGUCCUGGAGACCCAGCACUGCUCCCGUUCUCCGGGUGCAGCUGAAUGGGUGCUGCAGUGACCCCGACACUGCAGACCUCUGUCACCCGUCUGCUUUUGCUUUCCGUCCCAGCCACGUCCCAUGCUCCUUGUUGUCUUUAUUGGUGCUGCUGCGGUUCAGAGGCAGUUUGCUGGGGUUGGGAACGUCCCUUCAGCCGCUGCCCAGCACGGCCAGGCCGCGGCUCCGGCUGCUCAUGGAGGCGCCUCCCAGGUGGGUCCACGGCUUUCCUGCUCAGUUUUCCUGCCUUCUCUAAGAUUCACGUCCCUUUUGACACUUCCCUUCGGCCUCCCUCCUCAUGCACACACCUCCAACCCUUUGACAAGGCUCCUUUUCCAGGCCAGAGAUUCUGCUUCUUGUUAAAAACGCUGGUUAAGAUGAGGGCCACGCAGGUCUGGGGGCCAGCUGAUAGAAAUGGGUCUCGACCCCCGGCUGGCGGGUUCCCGGCGACGGCCGGGGCUGCCAGCCCGUGAUUCAGCAGCUUGAACGGAUUAAUCACGUCCCUUGAUGUUUUAUGCAUGCGAGCGUGCCCAAGGCAGCUGCGUGAAGUGGCUUCUAGGCAGCGUGUUAGCAGUGCCGACAUGUCAAAGGGUUUUGUGAUAUUGAUAUAAAUACAUAUACGUGCGGUUUUCUGAUUAGGCUGUGGUUUAAAAUAGUUCUUAGCAGCAUUCGUUCAGCUGAUAGAAUCCUUCCUGCAGAUCUGCAUGCACGCUGUGCCUCUGCUGCUGCAUUUCUUGAUUGCAGAUAGACUUUAUCUGAGUUAAACAUGUAACAGGCCCUUAGCAUAAGUGACACUGGGGGUGUGCUGAGAGCACUCGCAGGUGUGCGAGGGGGUGAAUGGAUGUGCAAAAAGCACACGCAUCUCGGGAAAGCUUUAGGAACCUGCUUUCCAAACAAGGUGCUGAAACCAGCACCCCAGCCCAGGGCAGAGGAAUGGUGCAUCUGGCACCUGCCACCCUCACGGUCCUGGGCACGCUCCGCUAGAGAUCCGGGUGCUGACGGGCCGGGCGGCACCGCACAGCUGCUUCGAGACAGCGUGUUCAUAGCGCCCGCGCUGGUGAAGGAAAUAGUAACCAGAGGAAUGUCCCCGUGAUCAGGAUGGGCCUGGGGCUGUGUGCAGCUACCCGGUGUAGGACGGAGAGCACGCUUUAAAUCGGUGUCAUAGAAGAAGAAUGAGGAGCCAAAUGAGCAAAUGAAUUCUUGGCUUCAGGGGAGUCAAAGGGAUCAGUAUCCGUGUUUGUGAGAGGCUUUCCGUGGCAGCACUGCUUGUUGAUGUUUAUUUGUCCUCCUUCACCAGAACAGUGUUUGUUAAUAAUUCUAAUAAUAAAACAGCCACAACAAUUGCCAGAUUUGCCUUUUUUUUUUUUUUUUUUUUUCCAAAGCUGUGGCUAAAUUCAAGAUUUUAAAAAGGAAUUUCUUGUGUUUUUUUUGUCUUUUUGCACCCCAAAGAUAGAAGAGCGGGUGAGGUGCCGGAGCCUUUGGGAGCACCGCAGUGAGCGGCUCUGCUCCGCGCAGGAGAGCUCAACUUCACUGUGAGCUGCAACAGUUACUGCAAACACACCCCUAUUAAAAACGCAACACAACAAACCAACCCAAACAAACAAACAAAGCCCACAACCAGCAACAAAAGCAACACACAAAAACCCCCAACCCCACUAGAACCGACUCACAGAUGGACAAAUUUGUUAUUGUUUUCAUGAUCCUUCGCAAUGUGUUUGCAGGUUCCCACAGCCUUGUUUGAAUUCAAGCAAGGACCUUUUUGCACCAACUUUGCAGGAUUUCAUUUGUGAGUUGUACAUUUAAUUCUCCACAGCAGAUGGUGAUGUGUGGGUGUACUGCUGGAUAUUUGCAACAGAUUCCUUAUUCUACAAAAUUAAUUAAGUAUCUCAUGUGCUGAUUUAAAAUCAGAAUGGUAUUGUUUGCAGGAAGCUGAUUCUUGCACAUCGUUUUGCGGUGACCUGUGCAAUUGCAGCAAGAUGUAAGGGAAGGGAAGCCAGUGCUGCUGUAAAGCAAGUGGCUCGUGGCAGCUGGGCCAGGCCGGACAUGGGGACUGGAGAGCUGGUGAUCUCGAGUGGUUAAAAGUCACUUAAAUAAAGGCAGGUUUGGGGCCGGGGUGUCGGGUUCCCCAGCUGGGGCUGUGGAGGAGGUUGCUGGGGGUUCGGCCGCACUCGGUGACACGUGGCACAGACAAGGACUGCGACUGAAGCCCCUUCUCCUUUGGUGGGUUUCCUUCCUUACCAGGGAUUUAAUUAUCAGUGGUGGCUCUUUCGAUGCCAUCGCUUACAGAAUCAUUGUGGUUGGAAAAGACCCUAGAGGUCAUUGAGUCCAACUGUUAACCCGACACUAUCACUUAAAUCACAUCCAGCAGAACCUCAUGAACACAGUGUUAGUUUGCAGAGCGCAGCAGAGUUUUAUUGCUGUUUCCUCCUAACCUGCUGGAGUCCUUAUGGAGGGUCUCGGUGCCGGUUUGCACCGCGCAGCUGCCGGCGCUCGGAGGGAGCGCAAACGCGCGGCUGGGUGGAGGAUGUCG